rnacentral:rRNA from 1 species
GGAGCUUGCGGCUUAAUUUGACUCAACACGGGAAAACUCACCCGGACCGGACACUAUGAGGAUAGACAGAUUGAUAGCUCUUUCUUGAUUUGGUGAUUAGUGGUGCAUGGCCGUUCUUAGUUCGUGGUAUGAAUUGUCUGGUUAAUUCCGAUAACGAACGAGAUUCUAACCUGCUAAAUAGUCCAUGUGUAACCCUGUGUAGUUUGGGCGUAUGUCAGCUUCGGUUGAUUGCGCACUGCUAUACGAGCAUACGGUACUUCUUAGAGGGAUAAGUGGAUAUCCAAGCCACAAGAGAGAGAGCAAUAACAGGUCUGUGAUGCCCUUAGAUGUUCGGGGCCGCACGCGUGCUACACUGACAGUGGUAGAGAGUUUGGUAUCCUCAGGCGAAAGCUGCGGGCAAACUUUUCAAUUACUGUCGUGCCUGGGAUCGGGGUUUGUAACUAUCCCCCGUGAACCAGGAAUUCCUAGUAAGCACAGGUCAUCAGCC